AGUAUCCUAUGUAUCGAGAAUCUGCCAGUAGCUCACGUGCCAGUACAAGGCAUACCAGUUGAUGGCAAAGUGAUUGGUUUUUUCCCCUUGAGAGUAAGUGGGUGGGAGACUCGCAUGCCAGCUACAAGCACGCGAAACACAUUGUAAAGGCUCGAUGACACUGGGCUAAUUUACGAGCUGCUAGUCGGCGAGUUUAAAAGCUAGCGAGUGAGCGAG